AUUGAACGCUGGCGGUAGGCCUAACACAUGCAAGUCGAACGCGAAAGUCCUUCGGGCGAGUAGAGUGGCGGACGGGUGAGUAACGCGUGGGAAUCUACCCUAGAGCGGGGGACGAACCCGGGGAAACCCGGGCUAAUACCGCAUACGUCCUACGGGAGAAAGAGGGCCUCUGCUUGCACGCUCUCACUCCAGGAUGAGCCCACGUCCGAUUAGCUAGUUGGUAGGGUAAAGGCCUACCAAGGCCACGAUCGGUAGCUGGUCUGAGAGGAUGAUCAGCCACACUGGGACUGAGACACGGCCCAGACUCCUACGGGAGGCAGCAGUGGGGAAUAUUGGACAAUGGGCGCAAGCCUGAUCCAGCAAUGCCGCGUGUGUGAAGAAGGCCUGCGGGUUGUAAAGCACUUUCAGUGGGGAAGAACAGAUUCGGGUC
rnacentral:rRNA from 1 species